rnacentral:lncRNA from 1 species
ACUGAAAUAUGCAGCAAAGAAAGGUUUUUGAAGCUGGAAAAUUUCAGCAACAUAUUUCCCUUGCUUGUAAGUGAUUUUAAUGUCUUUGCUUGAUGAUUUUUGUAUUUUUGGAACCUCUAAAGCAUAAGCUUUCAUAAGAGGGGAUUAUUUUGCAAAAUGAUGAAGAGUCUAGGGUUUUACCAUGAGAGUAAAUGUGUUGUUUGCUAUGUUUUUAUGGAAGAUUAUGAGUCCUAGUUGUCUAAUAAACAACUUUUGUGAAAGAAAUUGCAUGAAAAUACCUUAAAAAGGGGUAAAUUGCUAAGUUGUAAAAUGAGUUGUAAAUGUGUAAAAUAGUUGAAAUUAUGAGUUUCUAUAGUUAUGAAAAUGGUUCAUCUAGACUCAAGGAGUAAAUAAAUGUGAUAAAAAUUAAUUUACGAGCAUUCGGGCAAAAGUGCAAAUAUGCAAAAGUUUAGGGGUCAAAAUGGAAAUUUGUAAAAAUAUGAUUUUUAGACCCAUAUGAAUAUUGUGACUGAUUGGUAGGCUAAAUGUGAUGUUAUAGAUGAUGAAAAUUGAGACUUGGACCUAGAACGGAAAGAAAUCGAUUUAUGGACGAGUAUGUCCUUUUCACCUUUGUGGUAUUGAGGUAAGUUCAUGUGUAAAUAAUGUAGCAUAAUUGUUAUUUUUAAGUCAUUGAUGUUAAAUAUAUGAUAUGCUGAUUUCUAUCAUGAAAUAUAUGCUUUGUGGUUAUUUUCGAAUAAAAUGUAAGUUAUGUGUAUUAUCUGUUAAAUAUAAAGUGCUACCGAGUAUUGGUUUCGGUAUUUUACGGAAGAUGGCAAGGAGAUGUGUUCGAGGAAAAUCCCGUUUGAACCUUAGGAAUAGAUUAGGAUACAAGUGACAUGUCACUAGGAUGGUUGAGCAUCCGAACUCGUUGAGUCGAGUCUGAGUUCACUUAUGGAUGCGAAUGUUCGAACUCGUUGAGUUGAGUCCGAGUUCGUGAGAUGUAACUAGGCAUCCGAGCUCGUUGAGUUGAGUCCGAGUUCACUUAUGGGUGGGUUACAUGGUAGCUUGGCUACAUAUGUGGCACUUAUGUGCAAACUUUCCAUGUAUCCGAAUUAUAUUCCGAUGUGUUCAACGGGUAAAAUUCUACUCAAAUGGAGGAAUACUCGAGAUGAAAGGGACGUAUUGGUAAAUGUUGUGAAAUGGAUACUUUGAACAGGUAUGUACUUAACCCUCGGGUUGAAAACUCGACAUAACAACAAUAUGGUAAGAUGAUAAAUGAAAAUGUGAUAUGAAUGUCUCGGUGAUGAUUAUACAAACGAUGUUGUAUUAAUUUUGUGAGCAAUGAUCAUAAAUGAGUAAUUUAGCCUUGACAGAUUUGAGUUACUGCAGUAGUGUAACUUUGAAAAUACACUAAAAAUAGUGGAAAAUGAGUUAGAGGCAGAAUAAAAUAUGGGAUUAAAGAUUAAUGAGUCUAUUUUCACAUGAAAGAAACAGAGGAAGAAAAAGAAUUCCAUAUUGUGUGAUAUUUGAAUUCUUGUGAAACAGGGUCUGAAUGAAUUCGAGAUCCCCUGUUCUGACUUUAGAAAUUCACCAAAAAUAGUACAAAAAUUAUAAAGAGUCAUACCUUACAUGAAUGGAUUCCUUAUUGAGUCUAUUUUUAGGGAAAAUAAACGCCAUGGUCGUUGGAAUUUUUUUACAGGGAGAAAUUUGGUUUGUAGUGCACAGGGGCCAGAGUGGUCAUACCCUGAAAAAGGGGAGAUUUUAACUAAUAAACUGUACUAAUUGGCCCAACCAAAAAUUCUAGAAAAAAAUUAGUAAGUAGAAAUAUGAGUCUAGUUUCAAGAGAAAUAGACGAGAACAUUAUUUGAGUCUUGUACUAUGAGAUAAUUGAACUUUAUUACAGAAGGGUCGGAACUGUCAGACAGUGAAUUAGGGGUAACUUUGAGGAAUAAACUGUACUAUUUGGCUUUACCAAAAAUUCUGAAAAUUUUAUGGAAAAAAUGAAAAUAAGUCUAGUUUCAGAGAAAUUAACGGAAUUUAAUUCGGAGUUUCGUAGCUCCAGAUAUAAAUAAUUUAGUGACUGUUGCUCAGGAAGACAGCUUGUAGUGAACUUGAGAAUAUGUUGUAAACAUUGAUAAAACAAGUUAAUGAGUUGCUUAUUGUUUUCAUAUGAACUUACUAAGCGAAAGGUUACCCCCCUUCUUUCCCAUGUUUUCUAGAGUUUCCAAGUUAGCUCGGGUUGGAGGCCGUCAGAGAUAUUAUCACCCUAUCGAGUUAACGUUAUCGGAGUAAGUAAACUCAAGUGAUUCGAGUCUAUGGCAUGUAUAGGGUUUUAAUGUGAGUAUGUAAUAUUAUGAUUUAGCCAAAGGCAUUGGCUUGUUAUUAAGGUAGUAUUAGUCAUGUAAAUUGGCCUAUGUCGGCUAAUGACGCUAUGGGCCCAUAUGAUUAUUCUUAUGCAUGUAUGUUAUUAUCUCUUGUGAUGUGGCUUACAACAUGUAUGCCUAGAGAUUGAAUUGAGAUUCAUUGAUGAGCUAGUAACUAAUGCAGGAUUAAGUGAUUGGUAAAUAGUUAAUAAUGCUUCAUGAAUGGUUUGUGAUGUAAUGAUAGUUAUGUCUAGUAUGUGGUAAUGAUAUGGGCAAAUUCUAUAAUAUUUAUUGCAUAAGAAAAUAACUUGAG